rnacentral:tRNA from 1 species
GCCUCUAUAUGCUAAAUGGGAAAGCAGCAGGUCUUAAAAACCAGUGACUGUCGGUUCGAAUCCGACUAGGGGUAC